AACAAAAGGGUCUCCAAGCAGCCAUGAAGAAUUUUCAUGGGAGGCCACCAUCAGGUGGAAACUUUUGUCCUCGUGUUCUAAAAGAGGUAACUCAUUCUCAUUUUCUCCUCAUCCCCACCAAGAGGCAUGUUCACCCCACAUUUACUUCUUCAAAAACUCUGCCUACCUUGAAACUGCCAUUUGGUAGGCCAGGGCUCAUUGAUGCUUCUCUUCCUUUGCUAGGUGGAAUUUCUAGAGGAAGCCUGUCCUGCAUAUACUGUGUCUCCUCCAACUUUGUCUGGGGAUUUGGGACUAUGAUAUCCACAUUUGCAGAAGAUGACAAGCUUGCCCUAAAAUAAAAUUGUCAAACAACCAAUUUUUAAUGUGUUUAUCAGAUUAGGGACAUGACUUACAAUGGGCAUUAAAAAUACUGUGUAUUGUCCUGUACCAGUGGACAAUUUAAUAUUAUGACUGCAUCGUGGUCACUACUUAGGAGGAAUUAUGUCUGUGUGAUAUAAAUAUUAUAAUGAAUUAACUUAGCAUCAUAAAAGGAUUUCUCCUGCCUUUUGCCACGUUUUGAGCAAGAACCCAGUGCAUGAAUUAAAAAUGCAGGAUCUACCUUCAGCAGAUUAUUAUGCUGGCUCUGAAGCCAGGCAAGAUUACAAGAGUGGUUAAAAUACUUGGUUUUCAUAGUAUAGCGGUGUCCACUUCACUGUAAGACUAUAGGUCUUACAAAGUUAGACCUGAAGUGUUAUGCUAAUAUAAAGUUGUCAACCUGGCUUUUAAAUCCCUACUGUUCUGCAGGCAGUCUCCUGAUCUGAAGUUCUAAUGAAAAUACUGAGCUCCUAUGAUACAAGUCAUCUUCUCUGGUGCACAGAAUGCUUUUUAAAGGUCUAGACACAAUGAUAAAAGCACGAUGCUCCUGCUGAAUAAGAUGAACCAAUCCUUCGAUAGAUGUUGCAUGUUGGACCCAGAGACCUCAAGGGUUUUUGCCAAUCGAUGUUAAGCAAAAACAAUGUGAAGUUAAACUGACAGUUUCAGACAACUAAGAGAUGCUGUAGUAGAGGCACAUUUGUACUAACAACUGCUCAAACUUCUGGGUACAGGCUUGAAAAUAUUCUGCUAUCCUGACACAGCAUGUACCACACCUUGUACCUCCUGCACUCAUUUGCAGGAGCCUUUGUAUUAAUGAUUUAAACUGGUUUAAUUCAGCCCUCUUUGAAGGAUAAGAAAAGAAGCCUUUAUUUGAAAUAAACAGAUUUGUCUUGUUUGACCUCA
rnacentral:lncRNA from 1 species